rnacentral:rRNA from 1 species
CUUAGAAGCAGCCAUCCUUGAAAGAGUGCGUAAUAGCUCACUGGUCAAGUGGUUCCGCGCCGACAAUGUAGCGGGGCUUAAGCACACCGCCGACGCCGCGGCAGUCCAUCGUGGUCCUAGCCUGUCCGUUGGGCGGGUUCAGGGGGUGGGCUGGGUAGGGGAGCGUCCCGCGUUGGGUGAAGUCUCGGGGUGACCCGGGGUGGACGGCGUGGGAGUGAGAAUGCAGGCAUGAGUAGCGAGAGGCGGGUGAGAAACCCGUCCGCCGAUUGACUAAGGGUUCCAGGGCCAGGUUGAUCCGCCCUGGGUUAGUCGGGUCCUAAGGCGAGGCCGACGGGCGUAGUCGAUGGACAACGGGUUGAUAUUCCCGUACCGGCGCUUGACCGUUCAAUGUUCGCCGGGGUGAUGCUAACCAUCCCCGAUCCUGUGUGUCUCUUUCGGGAGGCGUGUGGGGGAGGGCGUGGGGUCCGAGCCUGGGUGGGCAAGCGUGGUAACAGGUGUGACGCAGAGUGGUAGUCCAACCGUGUCGUAUGGCUGAGCACGGCUAAGGGUGCAGCCCGUCUCCCAGGUAAAUCCGGGGGGCGUUCGGGUCAGGCCUGAUGGGGACCGUUUGACGGGAAGUGGAUGAUCCUGUGCUGCCGAGAAAAGCAUCGACGUCAGGGCAAGCGCCGCCCGUACCCGAAACCGACACAGGUGGUCAGGUAGAGUAUACCGAGGCGUGCGAGUUAAUCGUGGUUAAGGAACUCGGCAAAAUGCCCCCGUAACUUCGGGAGAAGGGGGGCCCGGGCCUUGAUGUCCCCGUGCGGGGCGGAAGGGGCGCGGGCCGCAGAGUCCAGGGAGAAGCGACUGUUUAUCAAAAACACAGGUGCGUGCUAAGCCGCAAGGCGAUGUAUACGCACUGACGCCUGCCCGGUGCUGGAAGGUUAAGCGGACUGGUCAGCCCUUCGGGGUGAAGCUGGGAAGUUAAGCCCCAGUAAACGGCGGUGGUAACUAUAACCAUCCUAAGGUAGCGAAAUUCCUUGUCGGGUAAGUUCCGACCUGCACGAAUGGCGUAACGACUUCUCCGCUGUCUCGACCACGAGCUCGGUGAAAUUGCAGUACGAGUAAAGAUGCUCGUUUCGCGCAGCAGGACGGAAAGACCCCGGGACCUUUACUAUAGCUUGGUAUUGGUGUUCGGUACGGCUUGUGUAGGAUAGGUGGGAGACUGUGAACCGGUCACGCUAGUGGGCGGGGAGUCGUUGGUGAAAUACCACUCUGGCCGUGCUGACCAUCUAACCUCGGUCCGUGAUCCGGGCCAGGGACAGUGCCUGGUGGGUAGUUUAACUGGGGCGGUUGCCUCCUAAAGGGUAACGGAGGCGCUCAAAGGUUCCCUCAGCCUGGUCGGCAACCAGGUGGCGAGUGUAAGUGCACAAGGGGGCUUGACUGUGAGACUGACGGGUCGAGCAGGUACGAAAGUAGGAACUAGUGAUCCGGCGGUGGCUUGUGGAAGCGCCGUCGCUCAACGGAUAAAAGGUACCCCGGGGAUAACAGGCUGAUCCUGCCCAAGAGUCCAUAUCGACGGCAUGGUUUGGCACCUCGAUGUCGGCUCGUCGCAUCCUGGGGCUGGAGUAGGUCCCAAGGGUUGGGCUGUUCGCCCAUUAAAGCGGUACGCGAGCUGGGUUCAGAACGUCGUGAGACAGUUCGGUCCCUAUCCGCUGCGCGCGUAGGAGAAUUGAGAAGGGCUGUCCCUAGUACGAGAGGACCGGGACGGACGAACCUCUGGUGUGCCAGUUGUUCCGCCAGGAGCAUGGCUGGUUGGCUACGUUCGGGAGGGAUAACCGCUGAAAGCAUCUAAGCGGGAAGCCUGCUUCAAGAUAAGUUCUCCAUCCAGCCUGUGUGCUGGGUGAGGUCCCCCGCAGACGACGGGGUUGAUAGGCCGGACGUGGACGCCUCGUAAGGGGUGGAGCUGACCGGUACUAAUGGACCGACCGCCUACACCAU